UGGGGAAUAUUGCACAAUGGGCGCAAGCCUGAUGCAGCAUGCCGCGUGUGUGAAGAAGGCCUUCGGGUUGUAAAGCACUUUCAGCGGGGAGGAAGGCGUUAAGGUUAAUAACCUUGGCGAUUGACGUUACCCGCAGAAGAAGCACCGGCUAACUCCGUGCCAGCAGCCGCGGUAAUACGGAGGGUGCAAGCGUUAAUCGGAAUUACUGGGCGUAAAGCGCACGCAGGCGGUCUGUCAAGUCGGAUGUGAAAUCCCCGGGCUCAACCUGGGAACUGCAUUCGAAACUGGCAGGCUAGAGUCUUGUAGAGGGGGGUAGAAUUCCAGGUGUAGCGGUGAAAUGCGUAGAGAUCUGGAGGAAUACCGGUGGCGAAGGCGGCCCCCUGGACAAAGACUGACGCUCAGGUGCGAAAGCGUGGGGAGCAAACAGG
rnacentral:rRNA from 1 species